GAUGAACGCUGGCGGCGUGCCUAAUACAUGCAAGUCGAGCGAACAGACGAGGAGCUUGCUCCUCUGACGUUAGCGGCGGACGGGUGAGUGACACGUGGAUAACCUACCUAUAAGACUGGGAUAACUUCGGGAAACCGGAGCUAAUACCGGAUAAUAUAUUGAACCGCAUGGUUCAAUAGUGAAAGACGGUUUUGCUGUCACUUAUAGAUGGAUCCGCGCCGCAAUAGCUAGUUGGUAAGGUAACGGCUUACCAAGGCAACGAUGCGUAGCCGACCUGAGAGGGUGAUCGGCCACACUGGAACUGAGACACGGUCCAGACUCCUACGGGAGGCAGCAGUAGGGAAUCUUCCGCAAUGGGCGAAAGCCUGACGGAGCAACGCCGCGUGAGUGAUGAAGGUCUUCGGAUCGUAAAACUCUGUUAUUAGGGAAGAACAAAUGUGUAAGUAACUAUGCACGUCUUGACGGUACCUAAUCAGAAAGCCACGGCUAACUACGUG
rnacentral:rRNA from 1 species